CCCUUAGAUGUUCUGGGCCGCACGCGCGCUACAAUGAUGAAUUCAACGAGUUUAUAACCUUGGUUGAAAAGCCUGGGUAAUCUUUUGAACUUUCGUCGUGAUGGGGCUAGACCCUUGCAAUUAUUGGUCUCCAACGAGGAAUUCCUAGUAAACGCAAGUCAUCAGCUUGCAUUGAUUACGUCCCUGCCCUUUGUACACACCGCCCGUCGCUCCUACCGAUUGAAUGAUCCGAUGAAUAUCAUGGAUUGAGGAUGCAAGCAGGUUCGCCUGUCUUCAUCUUCGAGAAGUGAAGUAAAUCUUAUCAUUUAGAGGAAGGAGAAGUCGUAACA
rnacentral:rRNA from 1 species